GAGACUGUGGGCAGGAGGAGCGAUAGGUGGGUGGAGCAGCCAACUCAAACGGAGAAUAAGAUAUGGCAUCCAGCUGUGGACAGGCUGUUGUUGUUGUUGUCGUUUGGUCUCGCGACCGCGACGACUUGGAAGCCUAACCUCAUCGACGACAUCGCCUCCUCUCUUAACUAUUAUUAUUUGAUGCGGAAGUGUGAGUAGCUGCCACCCUGCGAGGCUUCGCUUCGUUUGUGGUGGUAACACUGCGGCGGAGAUUCCUCGUCGGGCAGCCAUUCCCUCUCCCUCCGCCGCUGGGAAGUAGUUCAGUCGAAGAUAAGGUUUGAUCGAGUUCUACACCAAAAUCCAGCUUAUUGGAGACUUAAGAAGGAUAUAAAACUGAGCAGAAGUCUGACAAAAAGACACAAGCAUGCAUGCUUGCUUGCGAGACUGAUGAAGUUGCAUAGAACAUACUGAUGAGGGUAAUAAUUAUGAUAAGACUUGCGUGAUACUCGCUGAUGCCCCGCGCCCCUGUUGGGUUGACACCGAGUGACUGACACGGGUCGUAACGUCAACCGAGGCUCAUUAACAACCGCUCAGGUUCGACUCCGCACGCUACACCAAUAGCGAUGUCAGACGUCAUCAGAAGGUACGAUCCUACCCCUACGGGCAGACACAUCAGAGAGGUUGGGUCAAGCAUCUCGACCCGACCUGUGCAGGGACGAAGGCGAGGCGCUUCUCUCCGGACACGUUGGCAAGGAACCUCCUCCCGAAGGAAUCGACGACCCGUCAUCCGGACCCGAAUCAAGUCGCGUCGACCCCGAGGUCACGACUAAAAAAUUGUUUACACUGACACAUACAUAAUUGACUGAGAAAAAGUUACGCCAACUUGUGCAUUACAUUUAUAGCAUAUGCAGCAGAGUAUGUUGUAGUC